AUUGAACGCUGGCGGCGUGCUUAACACAUGCAAGUCGAUCGGUAACAGGUGUAGCAAUACAUGCUGACGAGAGGCGGACGGGUGAGGAAUAUUUGGGAAUCUGCCCAUCAGCGGGGGACAACCCGGGGAAACCCGGGCUAAUACCGCAUACGCUCUACGGAGGAAAGCCGGGGACCGCAAGGCCUGGCACUGAUGGAUGGGCCCAAAUCGGAUUAGCUAGUUGGCGGGGUAACGGCCCACCAAGGCGACGAUCCGUAGCUGGUCUGAGAGGACGAUCAGCCACACCGGAACUGGGACACGGUCCGGACUCCUACGGGAGGCAGCAGUGGGGAAUAUUGGACAAUGGGGGAAACCCUGAUCCUGCGACGCCGCGUGGGUGAAGAAGGCCUGCGGGUUGUAAAGCCCUUUCGGUAGGGACGAAAGCUCUUGCUCUAAUAAUGCAAGAGGUUGACUUAACCUACAUAAGAAGCACCGGCCAACUCUGUGCCAGCAGCCGCCGCGG
rnacentral:rRNA from 1 species